CCUACGGGGGGCAGCAGUGAGGAAUAUUGGUCAAUGGACGAGAGUCUGAACCAGCCACGUAGCGUGAAGGAUGACUGCCCUAUGGGUUGUAAACUUCUUUUAUAUGGGAAUAAAAUGUUCCACGUGUGGGAUUUUGUAUGUACCAUAUGAAUAAGGAUCGGCUAACUCCGUGCCAGCAGCCGCGGUAAUACGGAGGAUCCGAGCGUUAUCCGGAUUUAUUGGGUUUAAAGGGAGCGUAGGUGGAUUGUUAAGUCAGUUGUGAAAGUUUGCGGCUCAACCGUAAAAUUGCAGUUGAAACUGGCAGUCUUGAGUACAGUAGAGGUGAGCGGAAUUCGUGGUGUAGCGGUGAAAUGCUUAGAUAUCACGAAGAACUCCGAUUGCGAAGGCAGUUCACUGGACUGCAACUGACACUGAGGCUCGAAAGUGUGGGUAUCAAACAGGAUUAGAUACCCCUGUAGUC
rnacentral:rRNA from 1 species